AACGAACGCUGGCGGCAGGCCUAACACAUGCAAGUCGAACGCCCCGCAAGGGGAGUGGCAGACGGGUGAGUAACGCGUGGGAACCUUCCCUGUGGUGCGGAAUAACUCGCCGAAAGGCGAGCUAAUACCGCAUAAGCCCGAAAGGGGAAAGAUUUAUCGCCAUAGGAUGGGCCCGCGUAGGAUUAGCUAGUUGGUGAGGUAAUGGCUCACCAAGGCUGCGAUCCUUAGCUGGUUUGAGAGAAUGACCAGCCACACUGGGACUGAGACACGGCCCAGACUCCUACGGGAGGCAGCAGGUGGGGAAUCUUGGACAAUGGGCGCAAGCCUGAUCCAGCCAUGCCGCGUGAGUGACGAAGGCCUU
rnacentral:rRNA from 1 species